GGUGUGAAUAUAACUGCUAUAAUUGGCUUGAACAUCUGUAGAAUCAUGACACAGCUGUCUGAAUUCUACUUAUGGUGGGAUUUUCUUCUUCUGGAUAUUAUGUGCCCUACCUAUUUGUCCUUUCGAUCGCGCUGAUACUACACAUAUUGUUGUAGAAGUCUAUCCAUAUUAUAUUAUGCACAAGAACUUUAAUCUUUCUGUGGCUAAAUAAUCAUCCAGUGUGUGUGUAUAUUAUAUGUUAUUUGG
rnacentral:lncRNA from 1 species